GACGAACGCUGGCGGCGUGCUUAACACAUGCAAGUCGAACGGAAAGGCCCUGCUUUUGUGUGGUUCUCGAUUGGCGAACGGGUGAGUAACACGUGAGUAACCUGCCCUUGACUUUCGGAUAACUUCACGAAACUCGGGCUCAUACCGGAUAGGAUCUCCUGCUGCAUGUUGUGGGUUGGAAAGUUUCGGCGGUUGUGGAUGGACUCGCUGGUUAUCCGCUUGUUGGUCGGGUAGUGGCUUACCAAGGCUUUGACGGGUAGCCGGCCUGAGAGGGUUGACGGCCACAUUGGGACUGAGAUACGGACCAGAAGCCUACGGGAGGCAGCAGGGGGGAAUAUUGCAGAAUGGGCGGAAGCCUGAUGCAGCAACGCCGCGUGCGGGAUGCCGGCCUUCGGGUUGUAAACAGAUUUCGAAUGUGACGAAGAGUGAGUGACGGUAAUGGGUAAAGAAGCACCGGCUAACUACGUG
rnacentral:rRNA from 1 species